rnacentral:ncRNA from 1 species
AUAAAGGUAAUGAGAAAGAGGAGUAUGCAGAAGCGCCCUUAUCAGAGAGGACAGCUCAUAGGCUGGAAGGCUGUCUUAAGAAGGAACUGCAGAAGGUAGCUUUUGAACUGGAGAGCUGAACAGAUGCAACGAUAUGCGUUUCGUAAGUUUUCCCGGUUUAUCCCCGUUACAGGAUACAAAAGAUAUGCUUUACAUUAACAUCUAGGCAAUAAGAUGUGAAAGUCGGAUGUUUCGAUAAGGUAUAAAUAAAGGUGGUACCGCGAUAAUUCGCCCUUUAC